rnacentral:rRNA from 1 species
GGGGAAUCUUGCGCAAUGGGCGAAAGCCUGACGCAGCAACGCCGCGUGGGGACGAAGGCUCUCGGGUUGUAAACCCCUUUCAGGAGGGACGAAAUUGACGGUACCUCCAGAAGAAGCCCCGGCUAACUACGUGCCAGCAGCCGCGGUAAGACGUAGGGGACGAGCGUUGUCCGGAUUCAUUGGGCGUAAAGCGCGCGUAGGCGGUUUGGUAAGUCGGAUGUGAAAUCCCGAGGCUCAACCUCGGGACUGCAUCCGAUACUGCCCGACUAGAGGUAGGUAGGGGAGAUCGGAAUUCCUGGUGUAGCGGUGAAAUGCGCAGAUAUCAGGAGGAACACCGGUGGCGAAGGCGGAUCUCUGGGCCUUACCUGACGCUCAGGCGCGAAAGCUAGGGGAGCGAACAGGAUUAGAUACCCUGGUAGUCCUAGCCGUAAACGUUGGGUGCUAGGUGCGGGCGGAUAUCGACCCCGUCCGUGCCGAAGCUAACGCAUUAAGCACCCCGCCUGGGGAGUACGGCCGCAAGGCUA